UCUCCGUAGGUGAACCUGCGGAGGGAUCAUUACAAGUGACCCCGGUCUAACCACCGGGAUGUUCAUAACCCUUUGUUGUCCGACUCUGUUGCCUCCGGGGCGACCCUGCCUUCGGGCGGGGGCUCCGGGUGGACACUUCAAACUCUUGCGUAACUUUGCAGUCUGAGUAAACUUAAUUAAUAAAUCAAAACUUUCAACAACGGAUCUCUUGGUUCUG
rnacentral:misc_RNA from 1 species